UAUAUGCGUAUAUUAUAUUGCGUUCCUUUAUAUGCAGUAAUCGUAGAAGCAUUAAAAGAAGAAUUUGCUUUGUUACCUAUCAUUGAAAUGUCAAUGUUCAAUUGUAUUAUAAAUAUCUUCAUAGUUAAGUUUAAAAUAAGUAUCUAUUAAGAUUGUUUGAAAACUUUUUAUUAAAUCAUAUUUUGUAGACUUACUUUGAUUUAUAACAUUAUUCAAUUGAUUACUUAUAAGUUAUCUUUAGAAUAAUAAAAAAAUAAUCGAGAUAAAAUAUUAUCUAUAUACAUCGGUAUCUUAUUUGUUUUGCUAGUAAAAGGCAAUGUGCGCUACGCAUGAGAAUGUCCGAAUAAUCAACGAUAUCAGAUAUUUAAAUAUCGUAGUGAUAAAUUAUGACAUGUUUAGAUAGACUUUAACAUGCAGUAUGUUAUCAAAUCAUGUAGGUUGAGGAUGUGUUAGGCGUCGCUCUGUUAUUGCUAUAUUGUACAACACUAAGGUAGGUCCGGUACGCAUAAAAAAAAUUAAAUGUCAGUGUCAAACUUACGUCGUCGUACGUUUCCCAGUGCAAAUAUGUGAUACACUUGUUGAGGUAUUUAUACGGGAAUCAGAAUUAAUUUAACUUUUAUUUGGAUUUAUAUAAAAUUUUGCCUAAUUUAUUAUGAUUAGUGUUGUGAAAAUGGUGUAUUAAAGUGAUAGUGUUAGUGGAUUACUUUAAAAAUAAAUAGUGAUGAAAGUUAAGUUUUUGAAAAAGUCAAAAGUUUUCUAUAAAGACAGGACUAGAAAACUUCUUAAAAUUUACAUUGAUUAUAUAAUAAUAAAGUUAUCGCUUUCCUGAUUUCUAUAGUUUAGUGCAAAAUAUUUCACAAAUUUAAAAAUUAUUUUAAUGUGUUCAGACAGUGUUUCAUAUAGGUAUUAGGUCUAGUUUUUUUUAUAAUUUUGCUUUUUAAAGCAAACAGAAUUGACUCUUAUUUUGUAUUUAUACUUUCUUAAUUGUAAAUUUUUAGCUUUAAUUAGUUUCUAGACUCUUAAUUUAUAAUUUACCAUAAUUUUUGUGAUAAAUUUGUAAUUUUAUUCUUUUUAAAAUAUGUAUUGUUUUAUAAUAAUAUGGUGUCUAUAUUGUAGCUGUUCUCAAAAAUAAUAAAAUAUAAUUUUAAUAAAAUAUUAAAUGCAUAAUGUUACUUUAGUUAUUACUGUAUAGACAGUGUUUUCUAUUUUAGACCAUUUGUGGCCAAUCAUAUUGAGUAGCAAAAAAUAAUAGGUGUUUGCCCUGAAUAAUGUCACACACCUCACAUUUCUCUAAAAUCAGUAUUGUUUACUGUUAAUAUAUUUGUAAAUGUGUAUUUUGACCUCUUUUACAGGAAACAAUACAGAAACUACAUGCAGUACCAAACUAUUAAAUUAUUCAACAAGAUUAUUUGUUUCAUUUAUUUUCCUUCCUUAUUCUAUCAUUAGCAAUAAUUAAUUUUAAUCAAUCAUACCUCGUUUUAAUAUGCAUGUUGUAACUCAUAUUUAUUUAUGUUCCCAGGCAUAUUUAUAAAUACAAGAGGAAACUCCAAAUUGUUCAUUUAUCAAAAUCACACAUUUCGAUUUAUGUAUAAAAAGGCGUAUGGCAGCCAAUUAUGGUAUUGCUGGUACUUCUUCAGUAGGUGUUGCCCUGCGAAGUUGAGGAUAAACAAUGCUGGGAAUGUUACUGAAUGUAUUGGACGACACAACCAUGAACCACCGACAUGUUGGAUGACUCCUGAUGGCAAGACCUACAGUUUGCCACCAUUGCCAGAUAGAAGUGCUCCAUAACAGCAGUGUAAUAUGUAUCAAUUAAAAGUAUUCCGAAACAUUGUGUUUCACUUUGUUGUGUGUAAACCUGACUGCCUCUUUCCGUAAUUGAGAUUUUAAGGCUUAAUUGCCUGCUCGGAUUGUUCAGCAGCUGUAAGAUGUAUUCAAGUUAAAUGAAACUGUAUAAGUAAUUGUGAAACAUAUAUUAAGUUUUGUAAAUAUUAAAAUUUAGGUUUCAAUAUUAUGACAAUAUUGAAAGUAAUUAAUUUUAAUUUGAUGUUACACUUGUAUCUCAUGUUAAAAAUAUUAAUUGUUAACAAAAUUCGUUUUUUUUUUUCCAUUUGUUAUCAUUAAAAUUAUUAUAUUUACUGUUAAUAUUGUGACCAUUGUUUUAAAGAUUUUGAUUUAUGAACAAAAAUGUAAUUAUACAAGAAAAUUGUAUAAAUAUUACUUUUUUUAAUUUUGAUUGUACUUUUGAAAGCUUCAAGCCCAUUGUAAUUCCAAAUAUUAUAUCAUUUAUAUAUGUAUUAUUCGUUACUACACUACAGGCAAUAUGAGUCAAUUUUAUAAUUUUUAAGUAAAGAUUUUAUAAGUAUGUAAUUAUUAAAUUAAAAUUGCAAUUAUAUAUAUUUCAAAAAUUAAAUAUAUAUAAUUGCAAUUACUACUUCAUUAAGUGUCUCAGUGAAAUAUUUUAUAAUUUAAUAUAUGAAUUAUAUUUGUUAAAUAACUUUUAUUACAUGAAUUUAAAUAAUUUAGAGGUAAUAAAAGUAAAUACACCGAAAAUGUAUAAUUUUGCCUUUCUAUUAAUACCUCCUUAUAUUUUGUUUAUGCUACUUAGAACGCAAACAAGGGAACGGUUCACCCAAUGGAAUAGUAACCGUCCCCUAUAGACAAGAAUGACACCACGAAUAGCACAGAAUAUACUGUGCCGCCUAUCAGUAAGUAUAGCGACGGCGCCAAGAGCUUAAAAUACAUACAGAUGAUGUAAAAAUACAGAGCCAUUUGAAUAGAAGAAAUUCAAGAUGUGACGUUGUGCGCAACACGGGAAAAUCUAAUGGAGCUGCCAGAGAACGCAUCAAAAGGUUGUUGGGUUUAUUAAAGAAAUAACGAUAAUAUUAUAAACUUUAAUAAAAAUAUAAUCAGACGUUUAAAGAAGAUAUAUGUAAUACUGCUGGUUAACCAGAAAGAUAUUUUUCUAAAUGGCAACGCAAGAGUGUACUCGAGACUUUGUCGUAGACCGUCUCAUGGGUUGCCAUUAAAAAUAUAUUUAUGUCCUUUAAUUUACGUAUACAAUACAGUCGAUUGUGUGGUACCAUUUUUGUAAACAUAACUCUAAAAUUUUACUUUAAUAUCACAGGGAUAUCUUACGUAUAAGUAGAUAUUUAUAUAAACUAAAUUUCUAAUAGGUUAACAUUAAAAUAAUCAUAAAUUUAAUUUAUGAUGGUCUAUAAAAUAGUAAUAUUGCGAAAUUAUCAAUUUAAAAUAUUAGGUUAAAAAGUAUGUUGGGGGAAAUGGCGUUUUAGAAUAACAUAUUCGUGUUGACCAAUGUGAACAGUAUGUAAUACGGUAUCUAUAUCGUAUGGUGUAAAAUACACAUACAAUAAUGUUAUGUGCCUGAUUGUUACAUAUUUUAUGUAUAUUAAAAAGUAUUAGUGACGUCACGCAUUGCUAAGUCAGGCUGAGCUUUUUAUGUUUCUCAUUAAGAGUUAGGAAGAGUUAGGGACGUAUUAUUUUUUUAAUUAUAAUAAUAAUCAAUAUACAGUAAUAAAUAAUAUGCAGUAAUAGUUUUAAUUUAAAAAUAUUGUUUAGUAUUGUUUGUGAUGUUUUAAGUGGGAUGCUGUAAUUUUUAAAACCUAACUGCAAUUGCUACUUCGCCUGCCAAGCGUGGCAACUACUACCAAAAGCCCACUUAUGGGAGAGGCCUACGUUCAGUAGUGGACAGUUCUAUCUAUCUAUGUAUCAUAUAUUGAAACACUUUUCUCUUUUGUAGAUAUUUCCUACAAAAAAUAACGUAAAAUUAUUUCUUAUUUUUGUCGGUAUGAGUAAUAAUUGUUUCGUAAAAUAUAAUUAAGUGCGUGGUAAUGGUAAAAGUUUAAACUUAUUUAUUUAAAUUAAACAGAAGAACAAUAAUUAUAUCAGCCUUUAACUGUCCAUUGCUGAACAUAAGCCUCCCCCUUGGGGGGUUUGCCAGUAAUUGCCACGCUUGGCAGGCGGAUCGGCAACCGCAGUUAGGCUUUAGAGAUGUUUUAAGGACGCUGCUGGCCAUCCUUCGCCCUCCCUUAAUCGUCUCUUACGACACCCACGGGAAAGGAAGGGGUGGCCUAUUCUAUUCCGGGACCUACACGGCAACAAGAACAAUAUUAUUUGUUAAAUAUCUAAUUUACAUUUUUAUAGUUUAGCUGCAUAUAUUUGCAAAGUAGAGAUAAAUAUUGAAUAAAUAAAUCUUUUAACAACCAAA